rnacentral:ncRNA from 1 species
CGCCCGGCCGGAUCCCGUGGGGGGAAUCCGAUCCGGGAAAAGGGAAGCGCCCCGCAUCGUCGAC